rnacentral:rRNA from 1 species
UUGCCAGCCCGCUCAGAAACUUAAAUGAAUUGACGGGGCCGCACAAGCGGUGGAGUAUGUGGUUUAAUCGAUGCAACGCGAAGAACCUUACCUGGUCUUGACAUCCCGGAGACCCUUAGGAAACUAGGGGGUGCUUCCAUCUGGAAGAAUCUGGAGACAGGUGCUGCAUGGCUGUCGUCAGCUCGUGUCGUGAGAUGUUGGGUUAAGUCCCGCAACGAGCGCAACCCUUGCCUUUAGUUGCCAGCAGUUCGGCUGGGCACUCUAAAGGGACUGCCGGUGUUAAACCGGAGGAAGGUGGGGAUGACGUCAAGUCCUCAUGGCCUUUAUGACCAGGGCUACACACGUACUACAAUGGCCGAUACAAAGGGCAGCGACACUGCGAGGUGAAGCCAAUCCCGUAAAAUCGGUCUCAGUCCGGAUUGGAGUCUGCAACUCGACUCCAUGAAGUUGGAAUCGCUAGUAAUCGUGGAUCAGCAUGCCACGGUGAAUACGUUCCCGGGCCUU